UACGUAGGGGGCGAGCGUUGUCCGGAUUUAUUGGGCGUAAAGAGCGUGUAGGCGGUUCGGUAAGUCUGUCGUGAAAUCCUGAGGCUCAACCUCGGAACUGCCUUCGAUACUGCGGGUCUCGAGUCCGGGAGAGGUGAGUGGAAUUCCUAGUGUAGAGGUGAAAUUCGUAGAUAUUAGGAAGAACACCAGUGGCGAAGGCGGCUCACUGGCCCGGUACUGACGCUGAGGCGCGAAAGCGUGGGGAGCAAACAGG
rnacentral:rRNA from 1 species